rnacentral:rRNA from 1 species
GAUGAACGCUAGCGAUAGGCCUAACACAUGCAAGUCGAGGGGCAUCACAUGAAGUAGCAAUACGGAUGGUGGCGACCGGCGCACGGGUGAGUAACACGUAUGCAACCUGCCUUCAACAAGGGGGAUAACCCGUUGAAAGACGGACUAAUACCCUAUAACACAGGGGUCCCGCAUGGGAAUAUUUGUUAAAGGCAACCGGUUGAAGAUGGGCAUGCGUUCCAUUAGCUAGUUGGCGGGUAACGGCCCACCAAGGCAACGAUGGAUAGGGGAACUGAGAGGUUUAUCCCCCACACUGGUACUCGAGACACGGACCAGACUCCUACGGGAGGCAGCAGUGAGGAAUAUUGGUCAAUGGACGCAAGUCUGAACCAGCCACGUCGCGUGAAGGAAGACGGCCCUACGGGUUGUAAACUUCUUUUAUACGGGAAUAAAGUGCCCCACGCGUGGGGUUUUGCAUGUACCGUAUGAAUAAGGAU